UAUUGUACAUAUAAUGUUUGCUUUUAAAUGCGUAGUAGUAUAUUUAAAAAUCCAAAAGUAUUCUAUAUAUUUUUGUAGCCUUGUAACAUACACAUAGUUGUUUAUGGAACCGUGUGUAUCUACAAUAAAUGUAUCAAACAAAGAAUAUAGGUCAAUAGAAAAAUAGUUGACAAAUGUACACUUAUAAACAUCAACAAAACAUUCGAAAUUUAAAUGUAUUUUAUUUUUUAAAUCAAAAGCUUCGAAAGGACGAGAAGAACAAGAAAGAAACUUCUUGCCACUCUUUUUAACUGUCAUACUUUUCAAUCAAUAUUGCAAAACGCUUGUAAGCUGCAAUCAUUACUCCAUACUCUAUAAAUAUAAAACAAAAUGCAUGAAGACAAAGUCUUUUAAAUCACCAACUUGACAAAAUCGCUAAAUCAUAUUUUUGUCACAUUAAGGUUUCGUAGACAUCACAUGCCUAUACGAUAUUGAUGACAUCAAUACCCUUUGAUAUGAUAACGUCAAAGGGGGUGAUAAUAUUAUAUAUUUCAAGAAGAAAAGCAAGAUUAGGCUAUGAACUGUUAUAUCAGAUGGAUGGUAGGUAUUAUGUUUUUGAUAUGACCUUCAUGCCAUAAAUACGCCUUGCCAACGGACACAACUCGUUAACUACUUGAUAUAAAUGCUAAUAAACAUUACAAAUUAAAUUUUUCAACAUACAUGUAGAUAUGAAAUAUUUUUAUAAACAAUACAUUGAGAACUAUAACCUAAGUAGAAAACACAUAAUGAGACUAUCAACAAUUUACAAUUGUAGUAUUUAAUUAUUUAUUUAUUAAUGAUUAGGUCCCGAAAUUUCAACGGAAUAUUUCAGCGCUUUUACGCAGGACGUCCAGUGAUGUGUUUUAAUCACUUAGCUAAUAAGAGGUUUUAAAUAUAAUAUUUUUUAUUUUCUUAUUAUUUUAGAAUGUUACAGCAUGUGAUGGUAUUUUUGAAUAAUUGUAUAGUCACUAGUAACUAAACGUUGCCACCUCUCACUAUUAACCUUCAGCCCCAUUGCUUGAGUGGUGGAAAGCUGUGAUACACCUAUUAUGCACGUAUAAAAUUGUCAAAAGACCAAGUUUUCGAACUUUCGUGUCAUAAACAAUCAUUAAAAAUGUAUAUAACUUGCUUUAGUCUAUAAAUGGGACUUAGGAAUAGAGUCAGGAUUAGGGUAUAAUUCAGAGUCGAGACUAUACAUAUGACGUAUGUCAAAUCCGUUGGACUCCUAGGCAUCCAACUGACAAGGGAAUUUUUCGUUUCCGAAAUGUAACAGUGAAAUUUCACCGUACUCACCUUAUGAGAUGAAUAACCCUCUUGUCGAGUCCUUACAACCCCCUACAGGCGGAGUCAAACGCGAUUCUUCCGGUCAGUCUCUUUAAAAAUCCGUUUAGCCAAGAGACCCUCAUACAAACCUACCUAGCCUACUAGAUUACAUAAAUAGGUAGGCACGUUUGAUAGGCAUCAAAAAUUAAAGUGUCGUAUAUCAACCAUGGCAUUAAUAAAUAAUUUAAUUGGAAACUUUGGUAGAUAUCAACUAUGUCUUUGUCUUAUUGUUUUCACCAGUAAAUUCGGUGUAGCAUUUCAUCAAAUGGCAAUAUUGUAUCUGGCACCACCAGUACGUUACACUUGUCCAAACAAUAAAACGUGUUGCGAUAAUCCCGUCUAUGACAAAUCAGUUUUUACAAGGACCAUUGUUAUGGAGUGGAAUUUAAUAUGUGAAAAGGCGUGGUUAAAAGAUUUCACCCAAACGCUCUUUCAAUUCGGUGUUCUAAGCGGAAGUCUUUUGUUUGGCAUUGCCUCCGACAGAUUUGGCAGAAGACCCACAUUGUUAUUGGCGGUGCUACUUGAAGUCUUUUUGGGAGUUAUAUCCUCUUUUCUUCCGGACUACUGGAGCUUCACUAUCGCUCGCAUGUUUCUCGGAUUAUCUGUGGGAGGCAUAAUGGUCAUUGGAUUUGUGCUUAUUGUGGAAUAUGUUGGGGGGGCUUAUAAAGAUGCUAUAUCGGCACUUUUUCACAUUCCAUUCACUCUUGGUCAUAUAUUGUUAGCACUGUUUGGCUUUCUAAUAAGAGAUUAUGUUCAUUUUCAAUUGGGGAUAUCUUUGGCAAAUAUAGUACUUAUUAUAUAUAUUUGCUUACUGCCAGAAUCUCCAAGAUGGCUUAUGGCAACUGGUAAAGUCUUGAGAGCUAUUAAACAAAUGGAACACGUAGCAAAAAUCAAUAACCUUCCAACUGAAGAUAUAGAAUGCCAAAUGCAAUUGUAUCUUCUCGAAUGCUUGAGGUCUGGGCAAAGAAAAGGGACUGUGCUAGAUUUGUUUCGAAAUCCAAGUCUGAGGCGGAAUAUUCUGAUAAUGUGUUUUCUCUGGUUUGUUUGUAGCUACAGUUUCUACGGAAUGGCGCAUUACAUAAGUCACAUGACUGAGAAUGUGCAUCUGAACAUCGUGGCUUGCGGAACAGUGUGUCUCUGUGCUUGCCUCAUUGCAAUUCCACUUAUUAAGGUCUCUAAACGAAAAAUAUUAGUAUGUAUCCCAAACGUAAUGUCGAGUAUAUGUUUUUUAUUUAUAAUAGUCAUUCCAGACGGAAUUGGAUCGGUAAUAAUGGGUUGUUUGGGUAUAUGGUGCAGUUUUUUAGUUUUUAUUGUUGUUUACCUCUAUUGUUCUGAAAUGUUUCCGACAGUAGUUCGUAGUUCAGCAUUAGGAAUAGCGUCAAUGAUGGCGCGGUUAGGUGCGAUGGUGGCACCUUUUGCCGCAGCUUUAAGACCGUUCGGAAGUUGGUGUUCUCCUUUAGCGUUCGGAAUUUUACCGCUAGUGGCAGCACUCCUUUGUUUAGUCUUACCGGAGACAAAGGAUUGCGACUUAAUGAUGACAAUCGAAGAUGGGCAAGCUCAAAGAAGAAACACUGAAACUAGUACUGAAGAAAUAAGAUAAUCCAGUCUUAAUCUAAUAUGUAUAAACAUUUUCGAUACCAAGUUUGUAAAGUAUGUAUAAAAUAAACUACUAUAAUCUAAAACAUUCUACGAAUUAUUGUAAUUUUAUUGUUCUUAAUGAUGGUAGUUUUCUACAUUGAUAAUCGAGAUUCGUCAUAUCCUCUACUCAAUCCAACGUUAUGUAACUCGUAAAUUAUUGAAUUUGAACUAAGUUUCUAAGGAUUCUAAUCUAUUGAUGGAAUAUCUACGGCUUCCCCAGUCGACCGUCAGUUUAUGCCUGCCGUCAUGGCGGCAGGCCCAAUCAUUUGUGGUGCUUGGUAUUUUACCAUAUUAGCUGGGUUUUACAUCCUCUACUGUCCGGUAAUGUAUUUGAUGUUUAUCAAUCAUCACUUAUACAGGAAGAUAGUAGAUUUACUCUUUGCACUAUGGGAGCUGUACCCCGUC